GAUGAACGCUGGCGGCGUGCCUAAUACAUGCGAGUCGAGCGAACAGACGAGGAGCUUGCUCCUCUGACGUUAGCGGCGGACGGGUGAGUAACACGUGGAUAACCUACCUAUAAGACUGGGAUAACUUCGGGAAACCGGAGCUAAUACCGGAUAAUAUAUUGAACCGCAUGGUUCAAUAGUGAAAGACGGUUUUGCUGUCACUUAUAGAUGGAUCCGCGCCGCAUUAGCUAGUUGGUAAGGUAACGGCUUACCAAGGCGACGAUGCGUAGCCGACCUGAGAGGGUGAUCGGCCACACUGGAACUGAGACACGGUCCAGACUCCUACGGGAGGCAGCAGUAGGGAAUCUUCCGCAAUGGGCGAAAGCCUGACGGAGCAACGCCGCGUGAGUGAUGAAGGUCUUCGGAUCGUAAAACUCUGUUAUUAGGGAAGAACAAAUGUGUAAGUAACUAUGCACGUCUUGAUGGUACCUAAUCAGAAAGCCACGGCUAACUACGUG
rnacentral:rRNA from 1 species